GACGAACGCUGGCGGCGUGCUUAACACAUGCAAGUCGAACGCUAAGGCCCUUCGGGGUACACGAGUGGCGAACGGGUGAGUAACACGUGGGUGAUCUGCCCUGCACUUCGGGAUAAGCCUGGGAAACUGGGUCUAAUACCGGAUAGGACUCCGGACUGCAUGGUCUGGGGUGGAGAGCUUUUGCGGUGUGGGAUGGGCCCGCGGCCUAUCAGCUUGUUGGUGGGGUGAUGGCCUACCAAGGCGACGACGGGUAGCCGGCCUGAGAGGGUGACCGGCCACACUGGGACUGAGAUACGGCCCAGACUCCUACGGGAGGCAGCAGUGGGGAAUAUUGCACAAUGGGCGCAAGCCUGAUGCAGCGACGCCGCGUGAGGGAUGACGGCCUUCGGGUUGUAAACCUCUUUCAGCAUCGACGAAGCGAAAGUGACGGUAGGUGCAGAAGAAGGACCGGCCAACUACGUGCCAGCCGCCGCGGUAA
rnacentral:rRNA from 1 species